CAGUCGCCGCGGGAACACGGAGGGGGCUAGCGUUGUUCGGAAUUACUGGGCGUAAAGCGCACGUAGGCGGCUUUGUAAGUUAGAGGUGAAAGCCUGGAGCUCAACUCCAGAAUUGCCUUUAAGACUGCAUCGCUUGAAUCGCGGAGAGGUGAGUGGAAUUCCGAGUGUAGAGGUGAAAUUCGUAGAUAUUCGGAAGAACACCAGUGGCGAAGGCGACUCACUGGCCCAUUACUGACGCUGAGGCGCGAAAGCGUGGGGAGCAAACAGGAUUAGAUACCCCCGUAGUCCCUGUCUCUUAUAC
rnacentral:rRNA from 1 species